rnacentral:lncRNA from 1 species
AUGAACCGUGGUGUAGGUCACAGACGUGGCUCAGAUCUGGUGUUGCUGUGGCUGUGUUGCAGGCCAGCAGCUACAGCUCUGAUUCGACCCCUAGCCUGGGAACUUCCAUAUGCCAUGGGUUCGACUGUAAAAAGACAAAAUAAAACAAAACAUUUUUAUCGUUAUGUAUUAGCACAACUAAAAAUGAAAUUUGUCCAAAAUAUAAAGAUACACAAACAUAUUUUAUUUUGUAGGUUGUCACUGUAUGGAUAUAUGAUCCAGAAAACGCAGACCCUAAUGAGUUGCUACGGAAUGCAAAUGAACCUUCCCUAAAUUCCAUAAUACUUAGCAAGCAAUUUGCUACUUUGGGACAGAAGCCUACCAUACAAACAUUUCUGGAGAGAAAAGUUUAUUUUCCACAUAGACAAAUGAAGAAUGGAGCCUGGCAGAUCACAAUACCAAUGAACUCAGAUGUGCUAAAGGAGAUUGAGGGAAAUCAAGUGGCUUUUCAAGACUGCUUUAUUGCAGACAUUCUUUUCCUGCUGACUACUCCUUUGUUGACAAUGCCCGAGAUUCCUGGUUUUCUACCAAUCUCUUCGCCGCAGGGUAGUCAGCUAAUAGCAGACUGGGCUGCUUGUGUUCCUUCGUCAGUUGUUGUGGUGGCUGAUAUGGAGACCUUUCAGACAAAUAAUUCAUUCCAUACUUGGACCAGAAUCAGAGUGCCUCCAAACAUUCUGACUGAUGAUGAAAGACACAGUGUGUCUGAUGUGACCUUAUCAGAAGAUGGAAUAUUUUUUUUAAUAAACGAUAUUCUUUACAUAAAAAAAUUUAGCGCAUUUACAAGACUGGGAGAAGAUGUAAAUCUUCCUAAUGGUGGAAUUAUUGGGAUUACAUCAAGAAAAUGGUGUUGGGUCAAAUAUUUAUUGAAGGAUAAAGGAAGAAGAAGCAACAUGGCAGUCUGGACAGAAAAUGAGGUUUAUCUUGGAUAUACUUCUCUUGAGUUUGUUAAAAUAAUAACUACUGAAAAGCUGAAAGAACUUCUCAAUCUGUCAUCAGCUGCUACUCUGACUAUACACAAUGUUGAGUAUACAGGACACCCUUUGGAACUUGCCGUGUUAUUAAAUUACUGCAUGACAUGUAACGCCAUUAAAAAGAUUUACCUAGCGAUAUAUAAUGAAGAUACAAAACAGUGGGUAUACCAAGACUUUGCAUUAGAUGUCACUAUUGACACUUUUUUAAUUCCACAUUUUAUUUAUUCAGCAAUGCCAGAAUUAAUACUACAGGACAAACAUAGGAUCUACUACUAUUACCAUAAUUUCACAGAUACUGGAGUUGUACAAACACCUACAGAAUUUGGAAAUCUAUCAAGCUUAUCACAUAACAGCAUUAUUCAUGAUGUUUUCAUAGAUUAUUAUGGAAAUAUUAUGGUAAAAAUGGAAAACAAUGUGAUGUUUUAUUUCAAGAUCAACAUUAAAGAUGCACUAAAGCUACAUUUAUGGACAAAUAGCACAAUAAAAUCAUUGAUUUCCUUGAAUUCAUCUGGUCAAAUAUAUCUCAUAUAUGUUUUUGAAAAUGGCACGGUACAUCCACAGGAAUAUCCCUUAAAACUGGAAGCACAAAGUGUAACUUUCAACACAAAGGAAAAGUGCCCUUUCAUGGCAUUUCAUAAUAAUAUUUUUGGUGUUUUUUACUUUUUGGACAAAGGACAGAACCUGACAGUCUGGGCUCAAAUAGUCUAUCUAGAAAAUAUUGGUCUGUAUAUUAUUGUGGAAUCAUAUGGCCCAAAUAUACUAGAAAAGAAAGAUCACGUUCACUAUGAAAUUGCCUCAGGAUACUGCACCAAAACCAUGACAAUAACAUUUUCUCAGAAUAUAAAUUAUGAGGCAGUAGAUGAUUAUUUCAAGUUACAACAUGAGAACACAGGUCUUCUGCUUGUUCGGGUGAGACCUAGUGACUAUGCAAAAACAUGUCCAGUAGCCCCAAAGGUGUUCCAAAUAGCUGUUGGCUGUGAUGCUGGUAAAUUCAUUGCUGUCAAAGGAUUUAAUAAAAAAGAAUGUCUUCACUAUGACUUUUUUUACAUUAUUGAAAAGUCAUAUCUGAGGACUCGGCCAUCUAAACACUUGAGAGUACAGUAUAACUGGGAAAAAUAUGGCUGCCCACUGAGAGUUGAUUUCAGAGAAAAGUUUCACCCUUUGAUUCAAUUGUACAAUGAAAACGGCUAUGUGGAAGAUGUGGAAGUAAAUUUCAUAGUGUGGGAAAUACACGGCAGGGAUGACUACAGCUUUAAUACCACGAUGAAGAAGAGUGGCUGUUUGAAUGAAGCUCAGACAUGGAAGUCAAUGACAAAGCUUAACAAGCACCUCCCAUUAGAAGAAGCCUGGGGACCGGAGAACUAUAAACACUGCUUUUCUUAUGCUAUUGGAAAACCAGGAGACUUAAAUCAACCAUAUGAGAUUAUCAACAAGUCAAACCAUAACCAUUUAGUCUGGCCCUUGGACCAUUCUGGAAUGUAUGUGUUUCGUGUGAAGAUUCUGGAUCCAAAUUAUAGCUUCUGUAACCUAACCACUAUAUUUGCAAUAGAGACCUUUGGAAUGAUUCCCAGCCCAAGUGCUUACCUGGUUGCCGCUUUCCUCUUUCUCCUGAUGCUACUGUUCUUCACUAUUCUGGUUUUGAGCUACUUCCAUUAUAUGAGGAUUUACAGAGAAUAUAUUUAUGUCCCAUUUUACAAAUCUGAAAGGAAACCGAAGAAUAAUUAAGAAAAAAAGUUUAUUUUCUAUGAAUAUAUGUAUAUAGAGAGUGUGUAUAUAUACUUAUAUUGAGAGUAUGUGUUUGACCAAGAAAUACUAAGUAUAAGCUCACAGUAUCAUCAAAUUCAAAAUCUAAAAAAUGUUCAACUGCCCAAGACAGAAAUAUGUUCAUAUAUAAUCUAUGUUAUUAAACUAAUUAAUCC